CCUACGGGAGGCUGCAGUGGGGAAUAUUGCGCAAUGGGCGAAAGCCUGACGCAGCGACGCCGCGUGGGUGAUGAAGGCCUUCGGGUUGUAAAGCCCUGUCGGGUGGAACGAACGAUCUGGCGGCGAAUAACCGCCGGGUGUGACGGUACCACCGAAGGACGCCCCGGCUAACUACGUGUCAGCAGCCGCGGUAAGACGUAGGGGGCGACCGUUGUUAGGAUUUACUGGGCCGGCUAGGUAAGUCGGUUGUGAAAGCCCUCGGCUUAACCGAGGUCCCGCAUCCGAUACUGUCUGGCUCGAGUCUAGGAGAGGAAAGCGGAAUUCCCAGUGUAGCGGUGAAAUGCGUAGAUAUUGGGAGGAACACCGGUGGCGAAGGCGGCUUUCCGGACUAGUACUGACGCUGAGGCGCGAAAGCUAGGGGAGCGAACGGGAUUAGAUACCCCUGUAGUC
rnacentral:rRNA from 1 species